rnacentral:rRNA from 1 species
AGUGAACGCUGGCGGUAGGCCUAACACAUGCAAGUCGAACGGCAGCACAGUAAGAGCUUGCUCUUACGGGUGGCGAGUGGCGGACGGGUGAGGAAUACAUCGGAAUCUACUUUUUCGUGGGGGAUAACGUAGGGAAACUUACGCUAAUACCGCAUACGACCUACGGGAGAAAGCAGGGGAUCUUCGGACCUUGCGCGAUUGAAUGAGCCGAUGUCGGAUUGGCUAGUUGGCGGGGUAAAGGCCCACCAAGGCGACGAUCCGUAGCUGGUCUGAGAGGAUGAUCAGCCACACUGGAACUGAGACACGGUCCAGACUCCUACGGGAGGCAGCAGUGGGGAAUAUUGGACAAUGGGCGCAAGCCUGAUCCAGCCAUGCCGCGUGGGUGAAGAAGGCCUUCGGGUUGUAAAGCCCUUUUGUUGGGAAAGAAAAGCAGCAGGUUAAUACCCCGCUGUUCUGACGGUACCCAAAGAAUAAGCACCGGCUAACUUCGUG